GCCGCCCUAGCUCAGUUGGUAGAGCGAAGCUUUCGUAAAGCUUAGGUCACGGGUUCAAAUCCCGUGGGUGGCU
rnacentral:tRNA from 1 species